CCGCCACCAUGCCUGGCUAACAUUUUUGUAUUUUUAGUAGAGACGGGGUUUUGCCAUGUUGGCUAGGCCAGUCUUGAACUCCUGACCUCAAGUGAUCCGCCCGCCUCGGACUCCCAAAGUGCUGGGAUUACAGGUGUGAGCCACUGCGCCUGGACUUAUUUUUUAUUUUUUAACUGACAAGUGGAAGUUGUAUAUAUUUAUCAUGUACAACACAUUGUUUUAAAAUAUGUACACAUUGUGGAAUAGCUAGACUGAGCUAAUUAACAUAUGUAUUAUCUUACAUACUUUUUUAUGGUGAGAACACUUACAAUCUACUCUCUUAGCAGCAAUUUUCAAGGACGCGAUGCAUUGUUAUUAACGAUAUUUACAUGUUUCUCCCCCGCAGUGUCUCCAGUGGAAGAAGUGGGAAGAUGAGGUUCGGAAGGGGUGCAUUCUUUCAGCGUGCCACAGGCUUUGCAGCAAAACUCACCAGGAGCUUGAGAGUUCUCUGCAGUGUAGAUGAAAUGAGGGAGGAAUGGAGUUUACAGGGAGAAAAAUGUGGGCCGAUGUAACACUAAGGCCAAUUAGCUCAGACAAAGGGCAAAAAUGAGAGCUGGCAACCUGUCUAGUAAGAAACGUGAGCAAGGCCCUAAUGCAGGUGCUGUUCCUCAGGGUCCAACAGCUGAAGGCCACGCUUGGUUUUUACAACAUUUCUUGGGCUCCCAGCUUUUCAGAACAGCACCCGUUGUUAGAAAGACGGCUGUCCAGAGAGAGAACAUACCAGCAUAGUGGGAUCGUUGAGCAAAGCAAGAACACUGGCGGUGGAUCUCAAGCAAAGCUUUCUGGCAGAACAUCGGGCCGAAAUGAAAGCUUCGUUCCAUGUGUAAGGCACUGAUCAGUUUAAGACUUUUCUUCACCAUCUGCCCUUAUCAGUUUUGACCUGCUAGGUGCUUCACAGAACUUUGCUUGAAACUUUAGAGACAACCCACCUGUCUCUCUCGCUGUCUCUUUCUCUCCUUUCUUUCACCUUGACUCUAGUAUUUUUUUUUAAUUGCUCAGCAGUUUUCCCGAUGUCAAUCAGCUGCCUCUCUCAAAGACCAUGUGCAGGUUUUCCACUCUGCUUCAAGCCUCUUCCAGAUGCAGGAGUCUAACAGAGUCCACAUAAACAAGAAACCAAAACAAAACGGCACAAGAUCGAAAGCUUUCCCCUUGUGAUACAACCACUUUAUGUGCAGAGAGGCGCUCACAUGAUGCUGCCAACAUGUGUUUUCUGUCUCAGAUUUCCCUUGAUAACAAAGGACAUAUUUUAGAAGGCGUGGCCCUAGGUGCAUUUGGCCAGCAGGAAUCCGAGUGGAGUUUGGGGAUUUCAUUUGGGUUUAGGCUGAUCCCCUCGGGUGCCCAGUGCUACAGCCCUUGAUGAUGUUAAACCCCAAUUAAUAAAGUUGUUAGGAACACUUUGGGUCAGGUUUGUAAGAUAUGAUCUCAUUCUACUGCUCACAGAACUGAUUUAAUAUUCAGGAAUCAACUAAGCUCAUUCAUUUCCAAAAUUGGCAGCCCUGCAUGUUGCUUCACAGUACUCCCUCUGUCCAAGGCUGGGCAGGGUAUGUUAAAAGGAAAUCUGCAGAAGAGUCUUUCAUGAUGUUCCAAGACUCAGAGAGAAGGAUGGGGGCUGGGAAACAGGCAGGGUGGACAGGUGGGAGGGACAGUAGCUCUGCCUGAGGUAUGAAUGUGAUAGACAGAGAAAGGCAAUGAUAGCUCAGAAAAACUCACGACUCUUAUUGUUAGAAAUCCCACUUCCAAAUCUAUGCAAGUUUUAAGAAGCCAGAAAUAGCUGCAUUAACAUUACCGUAUGGACUUUUUUUAAAAAGUUGCAAAUGACCAUAAAAAAUAUCAGCCAUCUCUUUUGAUGACCUUACCUAAGUGAUUUAUGAUCUUAAAAGCCUCCUCUAAAUACUGCUUUUUAAUCAAGAAAGCUUAUGUUACUCUUCCUACACAAAAUUAACCUCACUUCAGAUUUUGAAGAAAAGGCAGAUCAUAUUUUUAAAUUUCAAUUUUUCAUCUUUUAAAUAG
rnacentral:lncRNA from 10 species